GCGGGGGUGGCCGAGUCAGGUCAAAGGCGCGAGGUUCAGGCCCUCGUGGCGUAGGCCUGCGUGGGUUCGAAUCCCACCCCCCGCACCA
rnacentral:tRNA from 1 species